CUGAAGGACUUCAGGAUAAGCACCCAUCUCUGUCCAGAGAGCUGGGACUGAGUUGCAAGUGUACUUGGUUUGGUUUGUGAUAUGUACCGGUGGUCUCUCUAUGAACUAUGAAAGGGCUAGGUCUUUAGAUGGGACAAACUAUUAAAUAUGUCUAUUAUAUUAUACGUAUCCUUAGAAAGCUUAUUUUACAUGAGAAAAGAAGGCAAAAGAUAGCAGGGAAACUACUAGGUAACAGAUAAUAACAUCCUAUGAGAUACAGAUAUGAAGGUAUACUUCAGAGAAAUACUCGACUUUGCUAUGAGACUUGCAACCAGCAAUAAGGAAAUGCUGUGAAUUUCAGCUGAAAGUGCCCCUGGGAGACUACAAGUAAGAUGAAGGAACUAAACCAAGAGAAGUGAGAUCAACUGAUUUAAGUUUUCAGAAGUAUUCUGUGGUAGACUCAAGUAUUCACCAAUAUGCAUUUGACUCCAAAGCCCAGUCACUAUAUCUACUAUUUUGGUAAUUUAUGAAAGAAAAGGAAUUUGAAGCCAACAUUAAAAAUAUAAAUGCCUCCUGAGAUAAUGUAACUCAUUAAGCCACCAUUAACCAUCAAUGCUUUGUGCACAAGCAAGCUUUCCAGUUUAAUCAGAGGAUUUUCCCAAGCCUAUUGUCCUACCAGAGUAAUGUUGUACCAGCUAUUCUCUAUGACCCUUGAAAAAUACAUCUUUGGAGAAGAAGAUGGGGAGUGGAAGAAGAGAAACAAUGUGAAACCAAUAAUUUCCCCCCAUCUCACUGACAGACUUGAUGCCUGAUCUAUCUUUCAGCUGAGAAAGCCUUGGCACUGGAAUUAGAUUUCCCAGGGAAUCAAAUGUCUAAUUCUCUCUCUGGAAGUAAAGUCCCAAAGUGCAGGAGGGAAGCCUAAGAAACUAAAGUCACUUAGGUUUGCUCCCCUUGGCAGUAGUGCAAGACAACAGCAGUCUAUGGGGAGAAUUAGAAAUUCAUUCAGACCCAUGACUUUACAUUCCAUUGUGUUUUUUCUCUUGGAGAGAAAGUUUGGAAUGCAUAGCAACUCUGUGAUCCAAAGCAGCUUGCUUGCUCCAUAAUGUGAUACAAAACGGUAAUAGUCAGGAGUCUUGAGAAAUGAGUCAGAAGAAGAUAUUGCUCUUUUGGUUUUGAGUUAUGGAAGCUCCGCUGACAUCCACUGCGCACAAAGCUGUCUCUGUCCCAGAUAGAGGUCAGGUAAAUAAAGUUGGGGGAGGACACAGAACAUGGCCUUGGUACUAAUCUGAUCAAUUAGUUUGGUAAAGGGUGCCGUCUGACUACAGAGCUGUCCAGCAGGAAAUGUGUAAGAGCCCCACAGUGAAAACAAUUUCUGUUAAUCACCUGCUUUCAUCAUGCAGAUACCUUGAGGCAGCCGUGCUGGCAUCAGAAGGGCCUGUCACUGGCUAAACUGCUGCCUAACAUCCUUCCCGGGAGAAAUCUGGGCUUCAGAUUUACCUAAAGUAGGAAAUAUCAUUAACUGCUCUGUUCUCUUAUUAAUUCAGUGUAAGCUUGAGAACCAUGGUUUUUCUGAUAUUUCCUUUGUUGUCAUUCAGUCUUUGGCUACUCAACACGUGUAUCUAUCAGGCUCUUGCUCUAAAAAUGACCAUGUUUGAAAAUACAGAAAAAGAAUGAUGUGACCUUGAGUGUGGGCCACAUUCCUAUUCAUUACUUGCUUGAAAUGAAAAAAAUAAAUGCAAACAAGAAUUACUCUUCAUAAACUUGGUUUAAUUCUUGCGAGCAAGUUUGUGAGUCAUUUUAUGAAUGGCUCCCGCUUCAAAUUAGGGCUCCUGUUUCCGCUUCCAAUGAGCCUCUAGUAUUACAUCUAAUAUUGUUUCCUCUCAGCAAUUGAAAUGUACAUCCCUGCUGGGUUGGUAAGAAUAGAAUUUCUUUCCGGAAUUCUUUCUUCUUUCUGAAUUGCUUCA